AGUUGGCUGAGUAUAAAAAUGAGUUAAAAUGUUUGAAUGAAAGAAACUACUGUUCUAAAUGUGUCCAGUGGAUGUCAAAAUAGCAAUUAUUUUUAUGCUCUGCCGGGAGGGCAAGCAUGACUCCAUAGGGGGCGGAGCUUCAGUGUAUGCCAUGUUAAGGGAGAGGCAACACUUCUGUAUUUGGACAUACGUCCCUAAGCUGCUUAUUGGUGAUAGUAAUGAUACAAAAUAUGGAUUGUUACCUUCAUGCCUGCCCUGUGAUGAGUUGGCGACUUGUCCAGGGUGUACACCACCUUCGGCCCAAUUGUAGCUGAGAUAGGCACCAGCGGCCCCCGCGACCCUAAAGGGAAUAAGCGGUAGAAAAUGGAUGGAUGGAUAGACGUUCAUGCCUUGACUCCUAAAGAUUUUAUUGGUAAUGUAACUUGUGACAUUUCUACCUAAAUAAAUGCUCUUCAUAAUGUCUACAAUUCGUGUUGUAUGUAUGACUGAGCACACAUAUGCUGAAAUAAUAUGUAUCCCCAUCUAACUUCAUGUGUGAUUCCAAAUACCUAACUUCAUUCAUGACAUUAUUCCAAAUUCACAAGUGUUGCUGUAGAUAAUGCUACAUAUGCACAGAAUAAACCCCAUGAUGUUAGUACAUCAGUUGAGGGAAAUGACUAAAUUACAUCAAUAACAUAUUGUAAUUAGAUUUUUAUAUUAUAAUUAAUUUCUUCUUCAAGUAAAUUAAGAAUUUACACUAAUGUGAGCUUUUGAAAACUCUACCAGAUUCAAUUCCACUUAUUUGAAUGAUGAAUUUAUUCAGAAAGUACACUCUUAAAACGAAUUUGUUGGAAAUCAACACAUGUUCUGUGUAAUGAUGAUUUAAACAAAUGUGUUAAGUCACAGGAUUUUCCUGAGGGGAAAGUUACACAGACCCUCUACACAACAUUGUGUCAUGAGCUGUGGCCAAUCAGCUGGGAUGCCAUAAAGUUUGAAAAAAAAAAAAAAAUAAGUCAGCGACGUCAAACUCAACGUUUUUCCGCCCGUCCCGCCUUCUCAUGGAUAUAAGUGGCCAUUACCGGACCUCUACAACUGUAUCGUCCAAAUGUCUUAAUAAAGUGCAAUGUUGGUUCCUGUAAAAUUUGGUGAAGACCAAAGAUAUGUUAAAAUUUAUGAAACUGAAGAAGUUUGUAAGGAUUUUAGCACAUUUCUUUACAGGGUCAUAUAAAAGCUAAGUCUACCACUUGAGACUCAGCUUUACUUGACCGAUGGGACAGGGACACAAGUGGAUGAUCAUGUGUCUGAGGACCUGUUAAAAAUGGGCAACCUUACUAUAAAUGUGUUUGCAGAAAGGUCAACAGUUGAACUUGGUCGAGUACCAGAGUCAGAUAUUCUAUCGAGUGAACCAUCAGACACAGCUUCAUCAUCUUUGGUCUCUGAUUUGCGUACCACAGAAAGGAACAACAGGGUGCAACAAAGUGACGCUGUACAGAUAGUUCCCAAAAAAGAACACAAUGUUGGUUCCAAUAAAAUGUGGUCAAACCCAGAGAUACGUUAGAGUGGCUGAAACUGAAGGGGCUAAGACGAUUUUGGCACGUUUAUUAAGAAGGGUGAGUCAACACUAUUUUAUUCUUACUCAUUUUAAUUUAGCUUUUUGGUAGGGAACCGAAAUGACAGUGAAUGUGAAUCUGCCAAACGAGUAAGUCAUUUUACUGUUAUGAAAAACUGACCUGACUUAUUGCGUAAAUUGACAAAUUAAUGUUUUCCUAGAUGGUGAAAGAUGUUCUCCUAGAUGGUGAAAGAUGUUCUCCUGUCCAAACCACUGGGACAGAUGAUCACAGAGUAUUAAAACAAAUCAAAGACAAUAAAUGAUACAACACGAAAACAACUUGUGAACCUUUUGGUGGCCAACAUGAUUGAAAGGCACAGGAGAAUUCCACCCAUUUCUGUGCGGACCAAAUAUGCGCUUGGUAUUAUCACACUUUUUCCUGCCCUUAAAGAUCCCUUCUCCGAGAAUGUAUACAUACGUUGAUUUAAAGGACUUAUAUUGCAUGUCUUGGAACUGUGCAUUGUAUAUUUUUCCAGGAGCACUUUUAUGACCUGCAUGGUGGCUCUGGCUACUUGGCUUGGAGAUUGAAAAAAUUCAGCGUAACACAGUCCAGCCUCGGAGGCCCUCUUCAACCUCAACUGAUGAAUUUAGCCCAAAGAGAAAGAGACAGGCUGUUGCGAGUGACAAGCAGUUAGUUGGUGAGGAAUGCCAUGAAGCAAUAUCAAUGCUGAAACAUUCAACUGAUGGAUUACUUGUAAAAGACAAGAUGAGGACCACAUUUCAAUAUCGUCAGUAACUGGUUGAAGAUCAAGCGUCCUCUAUCUUGGAUGUGUUCCCACAAUUUCUCAACAUCCCUGGUUUGGUAUGACACUUAAAUAAUUUAAGGUGUACUUAAUGUGAGGACUGGUGGGCAUGGUAAUGCCGGGUUUGUCCCUCCGUGGAUGCGAUGACGUGAACACAACAAAAGGUAGGAUCUUAAAAUAUUUAUUUAACAAAAAGAGAGCUCUGAACAGAAAUGCUGGAGCUAAUAAAAAGGCAAACCAAAAACGCUAGUAUGAAAACUAGGAAAUAAGAAACAGAAAACUAAACUUGGCAUGAAAGCACAAACGAGAAAACAAAUCAUCAGUAUGAAAACUGGAAUAAUCAAGUGGUAUAGCGUGAGAGCUAGCGAGAAUAAAAGUAGAAAAAGUAGCAGUCGUCACUUGUUGCAUGAGAGCAAUUUAUGAACCCAGGAAGAAAUGAACAAAGAGGCUGUCUUAAAUAGGAGGGUGAUUAGACAAAACAGGUGUGUGUGGACCGGGAUUGGCAGGUGGACUGAUGAGUUACCAUGGUGACAGGCUAAACAGGAAAUAAACAGUCACUUGACGGAGAGUGAUACCAGAAAGGAAAAAUAACUAAUAUGUGUAGAUACGAGCGGCGGAUCGCAACACUUAAAACUUUAUCAUGUCAGCAAUAUUAACUUUUGUGUUUUUAUUUAUUUUAGAUUGAACAGAAUUUUGCCAUGAGGUUUGGAGAGGAUGUGUCCGGCAGAUUUUUGUCAAAGUGGCCCGCUUUCUUCAAACCCAGGAUCCUGAUAGACUGUAAAAAUCUAGUCUUUAAUAAUCACGUAGGAGAGCUCCUGGCUGCACAAAACUCUGACGGACUUGGCUGGGACAGUGACCUCUCAAGCAUUCUAUUUUCACAUACAUAGUAGGCGGAACUACUUCCAAAGGACAUACGAAAAAAGCAAAAAUUAGCUCCUCUCAAGCUGUGAACCAUUUUGUAAGAUAUCCGCAGGUAAUAGGAUAAGCAGUUUUCCAAUGCAAUGGAUGAAAAAAUACAUGCUGUACCUUAUUGCCAUAUUGUAUAACCAGGGUUGUAAGGCGGCCGUUGCUGUAAAGUGUGCAAAUAAA